rnacentral:rRNA from 1 species
UACAGAGGUCUCAAGCGUUGUUCGGAUUCAUUGGGCGUAAAGGGUGUGUAGGUGGCGCGCUAAGUCGGGUGUGAAAUUUCGGAGCUUAACUCCGAAACUGCAUUCGAUACUGGCGUGCUUGAGGACUGGAGAGGAGACUGGAAUUCAUGGUGUAGCAGUGAAAUGCGCAGAUAUCAGGAAGAACACCCGUGGCGAAGGCGGCUCUCUGGGACGGUACUGACGCUGAGACGCGAAAGCGUGGGGAGCGAACAGG